rnacentral:rRNA from 1 species
GAUGAACGCUGGCUGUGUGGAUAAGGCAUGCAAGUCGAACGGGUUUAGACCCAUGGCGAACGAGGUAGUAACACGUAGGAUAACGUGCCCCAAAGUCAAGGAUAACCUGGAGAAAUUCAGAAUAAUACUUGAUAGACCCUUCUAUGAUUUAGGUAGGGUAAAGUUUUAACGCUUUGGGAGCGGCCUGCGGAGUAUCAGCUUGUUGGUAGUGUAAUGGACUACCAAGGCUAUGACGCUUAGGGGAGGUGAGAGCCUGACCCCCGCCGAUGGAACUGAGACACGGUCCAUACUCCUACGGGAGGCCGCAGUCGAGAAUCUUCCACAAUGGACGAAAGUCUGAUGGAGCGACACAGCGUGGUCGACGAAGCGCUUCGGCGUGUAAAGACCUUUUAUGGGUGAAGAAGUUUAUUGACAUUAACCCAUGAAUAAGGGGCUGCUAAUCAUGUGCCAGCAGCAGCGGUAAUACAUGAGCCUCAAGCGUUAUCCGGAAUUAUUGGGCGUAAAGAAUCUGUAGGUGGUUCUAUUAGUCUUCUGUUAAAGCACCGGGCUUCAACCCGGGGCAGGCAGGGGAAACGGUAGAUCUUAGAGAUUGGUAGAGGUGUGUAGAACCUCAUUGGUGUAGGGGUGAAAUCCGUUGAUAUCAUGGGGAAUACCGAAUGCGAAGGCAGCACACUGGACCAUAUCUGACACUGAGAGAUGAAACCCUGGGUAGCGAAUGGGAUUAGAUACCCCAGUAGUCCAGGGCGUAAACGAUGCAUACUAACUUUUGGAGGAAUCGACCCCUUCAGAGGUACAGCUAACGCGUUAAGUAUGCCGCCUGGGGAGUACGGCCGCAAGGCUAAAACUCAAAGGAAUAGACGGGGACUCGCACAAGUAGUGGAUCACGCGGCUUAAUUCGAUGAUACCCGAAGAACCUUACCAAGGUUAGAAACUUUACUCACGCUACACACUAGAAAUAGAUAGUAGAUAUUGUGGUGAGCAGGUGCUGCAUGGUCGUCGUCAGUUCGUGGCUUGAGCUGUUCCGGUAAGUCGGGC